rnacentral:misc_RNA from 1 species
CGUGACUCCAUGAACUGCGGAAGGGUCCAUCAUCUGGUGCUUCCUCGCCCGUCGGAGAUUAGCCUUGAACACUUUGAAUCGGUGGUCGUGCUCUUCCUGCGUGGCAUAGUUCUUCCCAAAUUUAGACUUGAAAGUAGUGAAAUGGUGCUCGGCGUUAAGGAGGUGAUCCACGGCUUCCGGCACGACUUGGCGAAUCAAAGGAUCCUCGACCUCAU